rnacentral:tRNA from 1 species
GCGGCAAUAGCUCAGUCGGUAGAGCGUUGGCUUCCCAAGCCGAAGGUCGCGGGUUCGAGCCCCGUUUGCCGCU